AGACCCGAAACCCGGUGAUCUAGCCAUGGGCAGGUUGAAGGUUGGGUAACACUAACUGGAGGACCGAACCGACUAAUGUUGAAAAAUUAGCGGAUGACUUGUGGCUGGGGGUGAAAGGCCAAUCAAACCGGGAGAUAGCUGGUUCUCCCCGAAAGCUAUUUAGGUAGCGCCUCGUGAAUUCAUCUCCGGGGGUAGAGCACUGUUUCGGCAAGGGGGUCAUCCCGACUUACCAACCCGAUGCAAACUGCGAAUACCGGAGAAUGUUAUCACGGGAGACACACGGCGGGUGCUAACGUCCGUCGUGAAGAGGGAAACAACCCAGACCGCCAGCUAAGGUCCCAAAGUCAUGGUUAAGUGGGAAACGAUGUGGGAAGGCCCAGACAGCCAGGAUGUUGGCUUAGAAGCAGCCAUCAUUUAAAGAAAGCGUAAUAGCUCACUGGUCGAGUCGGCCUGCGCGGAAGAUGUAACGGGGCUAAACCAUGCACCGAAGCUGCGGCA
rnacentral:rRNA from 2 species